rnacentral:rRNA from 1 species
GACAGAGGGUGCAAACGUUUGUUCGGAAUUACUGGGCGUAAAGCGCGUGUAGGCGGCUAUGUAAGUCGGGCGUGAAAUCCCACGGCUCAACCGUGGAAGUGCACCCGAAACUGCGUAGCUAGAGUCCUGGAGAGGAAGGUGGAAUGCUUGGUGUAGAGGUGAAAUUCGUAGAUAUCAAGCGGAACACCGGUGGCGAAGGCGGCCUUCUGGGACAGUACU